GUGUAAGCUCUGAGUCACUCUAGUUGGAGCUUUCACUAGUCUGAGGUCCACCUACCCAUGUGACAGAACUAGGCCUAUCUCAAUUACCAGUGAAGGCAGAAUGGGUUACAUGCUCCUCCAUCCCCAUACACAUUGAAUAGUUUUUUCUGCUUCUGCCAAAUAAAUGGCAUGAGAGACUAAGUAGGUACAGAUGAAAAAGAGGAGAAUACACUGUUUUGCUUUAGAAUCUCAGUUUACACCUCAGCAUACGUAAUUCAGCUAUAGCAGCACAUUCCACUGCUAGAACAUAUGCAGAACGCUUCCACCUCCAUCCUGCCUGAGGUAAUCCUACUUGGUUGGAGGCAGUGAAUGUUCAUCUAUAGACUUGACUGAACACAUUGAAUGAAGAAGCACUGCCAGUGCUGUACCUAUCACACUGUACAAAUGACAAGCCUGGGAACACCUUCAGUACUAACACACCCUUCUUUCCUCGAACAUGUUCCUCCUCUGCUGCGAUGACAUGAAGCUUUGGAGUCAGCACAAUUUGAACUCUUUGCAGUUUUAUUUAUUUAUUUUUUCUCUUUUUUUUGUAUUGAACUAGCAAAAGGAGCAUACAUCAUUUGUCCUGUAAAUGCAUGCAACAAAGUACAAUGAACAAAGGAUCUUCGUCUUCAAACAGACCUUUUCAAUAAAGCAAUGGGGAAAAAAGCCAGCGAUGUUGACCUGCAAGCAGCUGCAGCCAAUGAGCGAGUCCCCGCUAUCAGAACACAAUGUCUCACCAACAUCUCCAUACAACAUCGCUGCCUUGUGAGCCGAUCGAUCUAUAAAGACCAGAAGAGGAGGCUUGGAUCAUAUGAUUGUGAGUGCAAUCCUCGUAUUUUUAAUUGCUAAUUUACAAUAAAAACAGUGUAACACUA